UUAUUAGAUUAUAAUAAGACUACGUUUGUUACUUUAAUGUUUGUAUAAAAUGGGCAGGCGCUCUAAUCCUUUCAAGACAGCCUUACAGUUCACAGGUGUUAUGGAUAUGAUUUGAUGCUAGGGACUCCGAAGAGGUCCGCUAACAUAUUCAAUUCACUAAUGAUCCUUCCGCAGGUUCACCUACGGAAA
rnacentral:misc_RNA from 1 species